UACGGGGGGGGCAAGCGUUGUUCGGAAUUACUGGGCGUAAAGAGCUCGUAGGUGGUUUGUCGCGUUGUUCGUGAAAACUCACAGCUUAACUGUGGGCGUGCGGGCGAUACGGGCAGACUAGAGGUAUGCAGGGGAGAACGGAAUUCCUGGUGUAGCGGUGAAAUGCGCAGAUAUCAGGAGGAACACCGGUGGCGAAGGCGGUGGUCUGGGCCGGCACUGACGCUGAGGAGCGAAAGCGUGGGGAGCGAACAGG
rnacentral:rRNA from 1 species